GCCAACCCAAGUGCAACUCAGCAACGGAUUUUAAUGGAGUCUGGCUGUAGCUUAAGAACCCUAAACGCCAUAAGCCCUUUACCCUUCCAUUUCCGUUCAAGAACCCUUCUUUUGCGUCCCUUCUACUUAUCCCAAUUCAGGAAGAGGCAUUUCCACUCGUUCCUUUCUUUCUCCCAACGCUUCUCUCCUCUAUGUUCUGUGUCUGAAAGAGGAAAUGGGAAUUCUUUGCCCAGUGGAGUGGGCGAGGCUGUUAGUGAAGUCCCACGAAAUAAGCUUCUUCAAGUGGUAUUAGUUUCUCCCCAGAUUCCAGGAAACACAGGUUGCAUUGCCAGAACAUGUGCAGCAUCAGCUGUUGGACUACACUUAGUUGGGGUGACUAUUGCCGACUGACAAUUAGUUCCUUUUUUUCCUUCAAUUUAUUUAUCAAUAAGUUUGUAUUAGCAGAAAGAUAAAUAAUUUUCCUCUAUCCUUGAACUUCAUCGCUGUAUUUGGUAUUAUUUUUUGCCUUUUGAUGUGCAUCUCUUCCUCUUUCAGCCCUUGGGAUUCCAAGUUGACAGUACAAAACUAAAGCGCGCUGGACUAGAUUACUGGCCGUAUCCUUGUAUAUCUUCUAUAUGAGAUCCUUUCCAUUGGAUUUCCACUCUCAGUUUUUUGUUCUGCUAUAAAUAGAUACGUGCCUGGGUUUUAAAGAACAUGCUGCUUAAUAUGAUAAUCAACGACGCAAAGACAUUAGUCUUUCUUUUUUUUUUUUUAAAUAUUUAAAAGUUUAAGUGAUAGCAUAUUCUGCUUCCUUCAAUAUAUGGACAAAGAAAAUACUGUUUUUCUUUUUCUGUUGUGGUUCGUGAAACCUUUUGUUUUUGAGAGGCCUACCUCUAAUGCUUUAUACAAAACCCACAUAUUAGCCUGUUUACGACGUCUCCUCUAGCAUUAUUAUGGUUCGUUAUCUGAUAUUCAACUCCUAUUACAAUUAUCGUUAUAUAGCUUAUUGCCUGUCUUAAAUUAACUGUUUUAGAUAUGUGGUUGUAAAAGUUCAUGACUCCUGGGCAGAGUUUCGAGAAUACUUCAGGCAACAGGAAGGUGAAAAGCGUUUGUUAGCAUUUACUAAAAGAGGAACAACAACUCAUUCAGAAUUCUCCUAUAGAAAAGGCGAUUACCUCAUUUUUGGCUCAGAAACGAGCGGCUUACCACCUGAAGCUUUACUGGACUGUAAAAGCGAAACCAUUGGCGGUGGAACCAUUCGGAUUCCAAUGGUUGAAACAUAUGUUAGAUGUCUGAAUCUCUCUGUGAGUGUUGGAAUUGCUUUGUAUGAAGCUUCAAGACAGCUAAACUAUGAGCAGCUUAAAUUCCCUUCCGAAACUUGGUUGAAUAACGAUCAAUCAUUUAUUACUGAGGAUAUAUUUGCUUGAUUCUACUGUGUCAUUAUUUUCUUCCCAAACCUGUAAUUGCAGGAAUAGAACUUUUGGGUUGAGAAUAGAUGCAUCAUUUGUUAUGCUGUAAUUUCAAUUUCAAUUUCAAUCCUUUGAAGAGAUUAUAA
rnacentral:misc_RNA from 1 species